GAUUUUUAUGUUGUAGCUUGUUACCGGGCUACAAGAGUCUCAGCAACACUACAACUACUAUGAUAACCAAAAUAAGCAGUAAGUUGACAAUGACUUCCUACUCCCAGCACAUGAGGAAGCAUAUCCAUGCCUAGCUUAGAGAGCAAUUAUAGCUUUUGGAGACCAGCUGGCCCAUCUGUUCCUGGUGCUGCUGCUACUACCAGCAAGGUGGAGUUCAGCUUGGAGGAGCUGCUCAGGCUUUUUCUUGGGCCUGUCUCCCAUGCCCAGUUGAGCCCCUGACACCUCUGGCACCGCCUCUGAUGUUCCAGGCUGUACAAACAGGCUACAGGGGAAAAAAGGAACUGCUUAAUAUGCUGUGAGAGCUCCUUGCACUAUGGAUCACUGUGAAGGGAAGCACAGUCCUGAGGGCAGCAGCUCCUGUUUGCAGCAUACAGAGAUGCAGAUGGAUGUUAUUAGAAAGGUUUUUACUUCGAAUGUGCGCGGCUUGUCCACAUGGCUGAGAUUAGUGCUCAAUACUCAUAUAAUGCUUUUCAUCCUCAAAAGGACUUUACAAGCUCCAGCCCUCAAAACACCCCUACAAGAUAAUUUUUUUUUCAAGGAGUAA
rnacentral:lncRNA from 13 species